rnacentral:rRNA from 1 species
CUUAGCGCGAGUACUUGCAUCGUCUCCUGCCAUCCUUGGGGAGAGUUUGUCUGGCAUUAAGUUGUCGGGCAUAGGAUCCUCAUCGUUUACUGUGAAAAAAUUAGAGUGUUCAAAGCAGGCUUAUGCCGUUGAAUAUAUUAGCAUGGAAUAAUAAGAUAGGACUUUGGUACUAUUUUGUUGGUUUGCGCACCAAAGUAAUGAUUAAUAGGGACAGUUGGGGGUAUUCGUAUUCCGUUGUCAGAGGUGAAAUUC